UACGAAGGGGGCUAGCGUUGUUCGGAAUCACUGGGCGUAAAGCGCACGCAGGCGGCUUGAUAAGUCAGGGGUGAAAUCCCGGAGCUCAACUUCGGAAUUGCCUUUGAUACUGUCUGGCUUGAGUCCGGGAGAGGUGAGUGGAAUUCCUAGUGUAGAGGUGAAAUUCGUAGAUAUUAGGAAGAACACCAGUGGCGAAGGCGGCUCACUGGCCCGGUACUGACGCUCAUGUGCGAAAGCGUGGGGAGCAAACAGG
rnacentral:rRNA from 1 species